GGCUGGUCCCAGUGCAGUGGUGUUUACAACUAAUUGAUCACAACCAGUUACAGAUUCCUUUGUUCCUUCUCCACUCACACUGCUUCACUUGACUAGCCUUAA
rnacentral:Y_RNA from 1 species